rnacentral:rRNA from 1 species
AGGCGGCGACGGGUAGCCGGCCUGAGAGGGUGGACGGCCACAUUGGGACUGAGAUACGGCCCAGACUCCUACGGGAGGCAGCAGUGGGGAAUAUUGCACAAUGGGCGCAAGCCUGAUGCAGCGACGCCGCGUGGGGGAUGACGGCCUUCGGGUUGUAAACUCCUUUCGCUAGGGACGAAGCUUUUUGUGACGGUACCUAGAUAAGAAGCACCGGCUAACUACGUGCCAGCAGCCGCGGUAAUACGUAGGGUGCGAGCGUUGUCCGGAAUUACUGGGCGUAAAGGGCUCGUAGGUGGUUUGUCGCGUCGUCUGUGAAAUUCCGGGGCUUAACUCCGGGCGUGCAGGCGAUACGGGCAUAACUUGAGUACUGUAGGGGUAACUGGAAUUCCUGGUGUAGCGGUGAAAUGCGCAGAUAUCAGGAGGAACACCGAUGGCGAAGGCAGGUUACUGGGCAGUUACUGACGCUGAGGAGCGAAAGCAUGGGUAGCGAACAGGAUUAGAUACCCUGGUAGUCCAUGCCGUAAACGGUGGGCGCUAGGUGUGAGGGUCUUUUCACGACUUUCGUGCCGUAGCUAACGCAUUAAGCGCCCCGCCUGGGGAGUACGGCCGCAAGGCUAAAACUCAAAGGAAUUGACGGGGGCCCGCACAAGCAGCGGAGCAUGUGGAUUAAUUCGAUGCAACGCGAAGAACCUUACCUGGGCUUGACAUACACCGGAUCGGGCUAGAGAUAGUCUUUCCCUUUGUGGCUGGUGUACAGGUGGUGCAUGGUUGUCGUCAGCUCGUGUCGUGAGAUGUUGGGUUAAGUCCCGCAACGAGCGCAACCCUUGUCUUAUGUUGCCAGCAUUUGGUUGGGGACUCAUGAGAGACUGCCGGGUCAACUCGGAGGAAG